AGCCCAGCACCGAAUCCCGCGGCCGACAUCGGGCGCCGGGAAAUGUGGUGUUUGGGAGGGUCCAAUAUCUCGAGAUUAUAUGACGCGUCCAAGUCCUUCUUGAACGGGGCCACAGCCCAUAGAGGGUGCCAGGCCCGUAGUGACCGUCGAUGAUCGCGGGAGGAUCUCUCCUUAGAGUCGGGUUGCUUGAGAGUGCAGCCCUAAGUGGGUGGUAAACUCCAUCUAAGGCUAAAUAUAUACCACGAGACCGAUAGCGAACAAGUACCGUGAGGGAAAGUUGAAAAGCACUUUGAAGAGAGAGUUCAAGAGUACGUGAAACCGUUUAGGGGUAAACCUGAGAAAUCCGAAAGGUCGAAGGGAGAAAUUCAUUCGCGUUUCGUAAUUGGCGUUAAGCGAGAUCGUGUGACGGAAAACGGCGUUUCGUGCGACGUUUUUCGCACCUUUCGUUUUUCGAUCCGAUAACGAACGCGUGCACUUUUCUCCUGGUAGGACGUCGCGAUCCGUUGAGUGUCGGUCUACGGCUUAUGGUGGAGCCCAUACGUAUAUGAUUUACGUCAUAUACGUACGGACCCGUAAGUUUACAUUUUUGCUGACCGGCUCGCUCGACGGUAUAUGAAAGGUUUAAGGCCGCGUUUUUUUAUACGCGUUCGACUCGCGACAAGCGCGUCAGAUGAUUGUCGGCAAUCGGACCUGGUGCCGAUUCUGACCUCUGAUGACUGUUGGUUGCGAGAAUAAGAGAGAGGGAGUUCUCUUUCUUUCUCUUACUCGAACAGACCUUUAACCGAUCUGCGACGCUAUAGCUUUGGAUAAUUUCAGGACCCGUCUUGAAACACGGACCAAGGAGUCUAGCAUGUGCGCGAGUCAUUGGGAAUCAUUAAACCUAAAGGCGCAAUGAAAGUGAAGGUUCGUCUUACGCGCGAACCGAGGGAAGAUGAGCGGUUUACCCUUAAAAGUAGCCGUUCCGCAUUCCCGGGGCGUCUCGUUCUCAUUGCGAGAAGAGGCGCACCAAGAGCGUACACGCUGGGACCC
rnacentral:rRNA from 1 species